rnacentral:rRNA from 1 species
CGGCCGCAAGGUUGAAACUCAAAGGAAUUGACGGGGACCCGCACAAGCGGUGGAUGAUGUGGUUUAAUUCGAUGCAACGCGAAAAACCUUACCUACCCUUGACAUGUCUGGAAUUUCGCAGAGAUGUGAAAGUGCUCGAAAGAGAACCAGAACACAGGUGCUGCAUGGCCGUCGUCAGCUCGUGUCGUGAGAUGUUGGGUUAAGUCCCGCAACGAGUGCAACCCUUAUCAUUAGUUGCUACGCAAGGGCACUCUAAUGAGACUGCCGGUGACAAACCGGAGGAAGGUGGGGAUGACGUCAGGUCAUCAUGGCCCUUAUGGGUAGGGCUACACACGUCAUACAAUGGCCGGUACAGAGGGCUGCCAACCCGCGAGGGGGAGCUAAUCUCAGAAAACCGGUCGUAGUCCGGAUCGCAGUCUGCAACUCGACUGCGUGAAGUCGGAAUCGCUAGUAAUCGCGGAUCAGCUUGCCGCGGUGAAUACGUUCCCGGGUCUUGUACACACCGCCCGUCACACCAUGGGAGCGGGUUCUGCCAGAAGUAGUUAGCCUAACCGCAAGGGGGGCGAUUACCACGGCAGGGUUCGUGACCUGGGGUGAAGUCGUAACCAAGGUAACCGUA